AAAGAUCGCAGCCUGCGGCAGCUCCUACAGGAUCGGUUAAACGCCGAUUACCGUGUAGGAGCUGCCGCAGGCUGCGAUCUUU
rnacentral:misc_RNA from 1 species